rnacentral:rRNA from 1 species
ACUCAAAGGAAUAGACGGGGGCUCACACAAGCGGUGGAGCAUGUGGCUCAAUUCGAAGCAACGCGAAGAACCUUAUCCUAGGUUUGACAUGCAUGGAUUAGUCGCCAGAAACGGCGAUGACACUCUCGUAGUGGAACAUGCACAGGUGCUGCAUGGCUGUCGUCAGCUCGUGCUGUGAAGUGUCGGGUUAAGUCCCUUAACGAGCGAAACCCCUGUCGCCAGUUGCCAACGGGUCAUGCCGGGGACUCUGGUGAGACUGCCGGUGUUAAACCGGACGAAGGUGGGGAUGACGUCAAGUCCUCAUGGCCUUUAUGCCUAGGGCUGCAAACGUGCUACAAUGGCGCGCACAGAACGAUGCAAGACCGCAAGGUGGAGCAAAUCGCUCAAAACGCGCCCCAGUUCGGAUUGAGGGCUGCAACCCGCCCUCAUGAAGUCGGAAUCGCUAGUAAUCGCGGAUCAGCUACGCCGCGGUGAAUAUGUUCCUGAGCCUUGCACACACCGCCCGU